AUUGAACGCUGGCGGCAGGCCUAACACAUGCAAGUCGAGCGAGCGGCGGACGGGUGAGUAAUGUCUGGGAAACCGCCGGAUGGCGGGGGAUAACUACUGGAAAAGGUAGCUAAUACCGCAUACCAUCAGAUGUGCCCAGAGGGGAAUAGCUGGUAGGUGGGGUAAUGGCCCACCUAGGCGACGAUCCAUAGCUGUGCUGAGAGGAUGACCGGCCACACUGGAACUGAGACACGGUCCAGACUCCUACGGGAGGCAGCAGUGGGGAAUAUUGCACAAUGGGCGCAAGCCUGAUGCAGCCAUGCCGCGUGUGUGAAGAAGGCCUUCGGGUUGUAAAGCACUUUCAGCGGGGAGGCGUUACCCGCAGAAGAAGCACCGGCUAACUCCGUGCCAGCAGCCGCGGUAAUAC
rnacentral:rRNA from 1 species